UACGUAGGGACCAAGCGUUGUUCGGAUUUACUGGGCGUAAAGGGCGCGUAGGCGGCACUUCAAGUCAUCUGUGAAAUCUCCGGGCUUAACCCGGAACGGUCAGGUGAUACUGUUUUGCUAGAGUGCGGAAGGGGCAAUCGGAAUUCUCGGUGUAGCGGUGAAAUGCGUAGAUAUCGAGAGGAACACCAGAGGUGAAGACGGGUUGCUGGGCCGACACUGACGCUGACAGCGCGAAAGCCAGGGGAGCAAACGGG
rnacentral:rRNA from 1 species